AGGGAGCUUCAAAGAGCCCCUUCACCCACAGAGGAGAGGACCGCUCCGGGUGUAAUGCGUAGCUGGGCUUUGCCUUCUUCUUGGAUGGGAUAAAACCUACCGUUCAAAUUUAAACGCUCACUGUGUGUGUGUGUGCGCGCACGCGCGUGCGAAAGAGAGAGGGUGUGUGUGUGUGUUCCGCGAGGACCGGGAAAUGCUCUUCUAGCGCGAGCGCGGAUGACAUUAGAGCCCGCGUUUUUUUCCUCACCCCACACAAAUAUUCCCAACUUGGAGCCUCCUGGACACCGAGCAAGUUUUUGUUUUUAUCUUUUCUUGAAUUGCGUUUGAGCCGUGUAGCUGGAAGCCCAGAAAGCAGCGCAGGACAAGAUGGGGAGCGAAAAGUACUUACCGGAGCUCAUGGCAGAGAAGGACACGCUGGAUCCGUCUUUUCAGCACUCCCUGCGGCUACUGGAUCAAGAGAUUGAAAAAAUUCAGAAAGACGAGGGGAAGGAGGAGGAGAAGUUCAUCGAUGUCGUCAUCAACAAGAACAUGAAACUGGGCCAGAAAGUUUUAAUACCAGUCAAGCAGUUUCCUAAAUUUAACUUUGUCGGCAAACUCCUCGGGCCACGCGGGAACUCGUUAAAGAGACUACAGGAGGACACUCUCACAAAGAUGUCAAUUCUCGGUAAAGGAUCCAUGAGAGACAAAGAGAAGGAAGAAGAGCUACGGCAGAGCGGCGAGGCCAAAUAUCAUCACCUGAACGAAGACCUGCACGUCCUCAUUGAGAUCUUCGCCCCACCAGCUGAGGCAUACGCCAGGAUGGGUCACGCUCUGGAGGAGAUCAAGAAGUUUCUCAUACCAGAUUACAAUGAUGAGAUCAGACAGGCCCAGCUGCAGGAGCUCACAUACCUGAACGGCGGCUCCGAGGAUGCCAAGGUGCCAUCAGUGAGGGGCAAGUCAGCCGCCCGUGGAAGAGGGACACCUGUUCCAGGGCCUCCCAGGAGUCGCGGAGGAGUUCCUCCACUGCACGCAGCACUGCCUCGAGGAGCGGCACCCAGAGGAGCCCCGCCCAGCCGGGUUCCGUCCUCCAGAGGGCGAGGGGUGCAGAGAGCCAGAGGGGCCCCCCCAGCCACCGGGUACAGACCAGUUCCUCCCAUAGUCCAGGACUCAUACGGCGAAUAUGAAUACGACGACGGCUACGGGACAGCUUAUGAUGACCAAGGAUAUGAAUCGUAUGACAACAAUUACAGUAAUCAAGGACAAAACUCAGAUGACUACUACGAAUACGGACACAGUGGGGAAUCAUAUGAUUCAUACGGUCAGGAAGAGUGGGCAAACAAUCGCGGCAAGGCUCCGUCAGCACGAACAACCAAGGGAGUGUACAGAGAUCAGCCAUACUCAAGAUAUUGAACUGUUUAUACAACCCGCACCUGAGUCCUCAUGGCUGUUUCAACCCCAAGUCGAAGUACUGGCUGCACAGGGGCGUCCAUCCAUUUAUUCCACUGGUCCUGAAGACUUGAUGAAUCGUUUCCUUCCAAACAUUCAGGCCCACACAGAUUCAAACCCACUCCUGAUGAAGGGAAAGAAACAAGCUACAGACUCUGUCCUUCGGACGAAUCGCAGACGUCCGGAUUUUCACAGUCUGGGCCGAGGUGAAUCCUGUGGGGGAGGGGAUGGAGUGGUGACCUGUUGAGAUGCACAAAAAGAAGGGGAAAGAUCGUGCGUGUAUCACACAUCUUCAGAACGGAGGGAUGGAAGGAAAUCCAGGAGGCAAAUGGAGUUCCUUAUCCUCUGGGACGGUCUGUCGGGGGAUAUUUCCUUCAGAGCUUCACCGGCUGCGUAUACAUUUUACAUAUAGCAAGAGUGCUCUGAACUGAGUGUGAACCUCACUUCCAUGGUUCCCGAUUCUGUUAUCAGAUUGGAUGUGUCUACCUCUUGCGUUAGAUCCUGAAUGCCAGCUAAGGAUGAGUAAAUAAAUAAUGCAACAUGCUAAGGAAAAGGCAUCAUAAUUCUAGCAGAGACACGUCUAUUCUCACCCUGUUGUGCUCAUUAACCUCUAUCAAAUCAGCUCCAAUGAAUAAAUAAUUCACCAAGUGCCUUAUUGUUGCAUUGUUUUGACACUUUUAGAUGUUUAGUCCCAUUACCCGAGUUAACAUAUAUGCCAACGCUGGAAGGAAAGAUAGCUACUUUUUUUCUUUUAUGUUGUUUUUCUGCUUCUUUGUAUGCAUUACAAGCAUGCAGGAAAACACCACCCGGCCUCAUAUACAAGAGCACAGUCUAUUCCAGAUGUACUGCUUAAUCAGAAACGACUUCAGUGGAUAUUACAAUUCCAAAAUAGCUUUCUCUCCGGUGGAGAGCUUCAUUCUGUCUUGUGCAUAAGUCCAGAUAGGCUGAUCCUUAUUCCUCACAGCUGUAUGUCCUCAGUGGCAGACAAUAGUUUUCCAUUAGAGGAAGUGAUUCUCACUGGAGCCUUAGGCCAAGCGUCAGACAAUGGCACAGCGACCUAAAGCUCACAUCUCAGGCUCCCAGAGUCAACUCUCAUCACCUCCAGAGGCUGAUUUCCACUCUGCAGUGGCUUAAAGGGACAGGCUUAUCUAAAGUGAGCUUGUCCAAGUUAAUAAAGUUAAAAGCAACUUAUUUGAUUAGGAAUGCAUACAAAGGAGGAUGCAGUCAUCUAUCACUGGCAGACGAGUCAAUUUCAGCGCUAGAUCGAUGGUGAGCAGACCAGCAAAAUUAGAAAGUGCUAAAAGGCUGUGAAAACCUUUUUUUUCCAGUUAGCUUCUUACUGUGAGGUAUGGGGUCCUACUGAACCCGCUGUGCUCUGUUUCAAGGUUAAACUGAAUUAGUUUUUUAAUAAGAGUUGUUUUGUUGUAUUUGUUUUUCCUUUCAAACAGACAAACAGGUAGACUGGGCUUAAAAUAGAUUUGAAUCAAAGUAAGUCUUGUUGUGUGUUUGUUAGCGUUAUUGUCAAAUCUGAUCAAACCCAGAGACCACUAGAAAGCGAUAUGGCAUUCAGAAUAUAGACUCACCAAAAGUUUUAACCUUUUUUUUUUAAACUAGACUUUAUUGGUGAGUCAAAAUAUGUGGUCUUUAUAUCCUAAUGACCAAUUAAAUCAAAGCUAGUUUAGAUAAACACCUAAGGCAUUUUAAACUGGCUGCCAAGUUCAAGACUUGCUUUUGGGGGCUGACAGACAGUUAGACUAGCUUAACUUAACCAGUUAGUUUAGCUUAGCAUACUGUAAGACCUUGCGUUACAUUUUGUUUGCAAAAAAUGAAAUAUCCUGGGAUGUAUAAGUGGGACUAUUUCUUGACCAGAGAUCAGAGCGUCGUGGAUCAUCUUCUGACUGUCUUUGAGUUCCCCUUGAAAAAUGUUGGUAGGGGGAUUUUACUGCACUUUGUUUUAUUUAUUUAUUUAUUUAUUUCAAUAUGUCCAACUGAGCUCGAUCUGGCUCCUUAUUUGUUUUAUCUCAUAAGCUAGCACGUUUUUCAUGUGAAGAGACCCUGAAAAGACUUGCACAGAACAGGUUCAAGCUGAAGACCCACUUGCAGCAGUGGCAGCCGUGCUAAGUACUCAGACUCUUUUUUUAAU